GCCUGGGUGGCUCAGUCAGUUAAGCAUCUGACUUCAGCUCAGGUCAUGGUCUCACAGUUUGUGGGUUCAAGCCCCACGUCGGGCU
rnacentral:tRNA from 1 species